rnacentral:tRNA from 1 species
GCCGCUGUGGGACAAUGGUACUCCAACCGCCUUGAGAGCGGUGCCUUUCGGCCUCCCGGUUCGAUUCCGGGCAGCGGCG